rnacentral:rRNA from 1 species
AUUGAACGCUGGCGGCAGGCCUAACACAUGCAAGUCGAGCGGAUGAAGGGAGCUUGCUCCUGGAUUCAGCGGCGGACGGGUGAGUAAUGCCUAGGAAUCUGCCUGGUAGUGGGGGAUAACGUCCGGAAACGGGCGCUAAUACCGCAUACGUCCUGAGGGAGAAAGUGGGGGAUCUUCGGACCUCACGCUAUCAGAUGAGCCUAGGUCGGAUUAGCUAGUUGGUGGGGUAAAGGCCUACCAAGGCGACGAUCCGUAACUGGUCUGAGAGGAUGAUCAGUCACACUGGAACUGAGACACGGUCCAGACUCCUACGGGAGGCAGCAGUGGGGAAUAUUGGACAAAGGGCGAAAGCCUGAUCCAGCCAUGCCGCGUGUGUGAAGAAGGUCUUCGGAUUGUAAAGCACUUUAAGUUGGGAGGAAGGGCAGUAAGUUAAUACCUUGCUGUUUUGACGUUACCAACAGAAUAAGCACCGGCUAACUUCAUG